GCGGUGUAAUCUUCUCUGAAACACAUGUUAGAAGGUUAGAACAGCUAAAGAAUUGGUUCCUCAUCUGAUCUUUCUUUCAUGGUCAUGAUUGAUCCGGGGAUG